CAGCACGUAGCGAAAAGUAUAGCGCUUCCCUUACACCGAAGAGAUGCCCGUGCAAGACGGGCCGUCCUGA
rnacentral:tRNA from 1 species